rnacentral:rRNA from 1 species
UACGUAGGGCGCGAGCGUUGUCCGGAAUUAUUGGGCGUAAAGAGCUCGUAGGCGGUCUGUUGCGUCUGCUGUGAAAACUCGGGGCUUAACCCCGAGCCUGCAGUGGAUACGGGCAGACUAGAGGUAGGUAGGGGAGAAUGGAAUUCCCGGUGUAGCGGUGAAAUGCGCAGAUAUCGGGAGGAACACCGGUGGCGAAGGCGGUUCUCUGGGCCUUACCUGACGCUGAGGAGCGAAAGCGUGGGGAGCGAACAGG